AAUUUUGAACUGUUCUGAACACACCUGAGGCCGUCUGAUCUCAGAAGCUAAGCAGGGUUGGGCCUGGCUGGUACUUGGAUGGAGAAAACUUCUAUAUAAAUUA
ensembl:rRNA 5S_rRNA 5S ribosomal RNA